AUUGAACGCUGGCGGAAUGCUUUACACAUGCAAGUCGAACGGCAGCACGGGUGCUUGCACCUGGUGGCGAGUGGCGAACGGGUGAGUAAUGCACCGGAACGUAUCCAAUAAUGGGGGAUAACGCACCGAAAGGUGUGCUAAUACCGCAUACGCCCUGAGGGGGAAAGUGGGGGAUCGUAAGACCUCGCGUUAAUGGAGCGGCCGAUGCCGGAUUAGCUAGUUGGUGAGGUAAAGGCUCACCAAGGCGACGAUCCGUAGCUGGUCUGAGAGGACGACCAGCCACACUGGAACUGAGACACGGUCCAGACUCCUACGGGAGGCAGCAGUGGGGAAUUUUGGACAAUGGGCGCAAGCCUGAUCCAGCCAUGCCGCGUGAGUGAAGAAGGCCUC
rnacentral:rRNA from 1 species